CCAGGAUUGGCGGGAGCGGUCCAAGGGAGUCAGCCGGGGAGGGCGAAAAGGGGAUGGAAACCCUAUUUUCUUUUCUCCAAGACCAUGGUUGGUCUGCUUCCCUCACUCGGGCUCCUUGACAGUCUUCUAGAAGAGAGGAGGAGGAAAAGAAGCAGUUCCUGAUGUUACAAAUGAACAAGGAUCUCCCAGCCUUAGUCUUUGAGAAAAGAUGGCUGAAAGAGAGGAACUCUCCAAGUCAUUCCGCAAACAAAUGCCCAUUUAAACAUCAUCCUUGUCUUGUGAAGAAAACAGGAAGAAUGUCAUGCACCGUGUGGAUCACCUUCAGUUCAAAGUUGCAGCAAAGUGAAGAAACUACUGGAAGCCACCCAGCAAUGCACUGUUUAGUCAUCAAUUAGGAGCCCAUGGGAGGAUAAUAGGGAGACUGGGUGGAGGCUCAGUGUGUAAUAAUCUCUUGUCUAAUGUAUGUGUGUCACUGCCAUGUUGUAUGAACAAUAGUGAGGGCUCACAUUUACUUAACACUUGUGUACUCAAAUCUGGGUUUUUCUUUCUUUCCAGAACUAUGACUCAAUCAUAAAAUCUGUUUUGUUUGCAUGCAUGCCCAAAACAACCCUAUAGGUAGAACAUUAUCAUUAUCUCUGUUUUAGAGAUGAGGAAACAGGCUCAGAGAAGCUCAGAAAUUUGUUCAAGAUCGCACAGCUAGUAAAUGGCAGAAGUAGGAUUGUGAACCCAGGGAAUCUCCAGAGCCUCUGUGUAACCAUGAUAUUAUAUUUUUUUCCUCUUUAAAAACAAAAUUAAAAACCUUGC
rnacentral:lncRNA from 1 species